AACGAACGCUAUCGGUAUGCUUAACACAUGCAAGUCGGACGGACUAAUUAGGGCUUGCUCCAAUUAGUUAGUGGCAGACGGGUGAGUAACACGUGGGAAUCUGCCCAUCAGUACGGAAUAACUUUUAGAAAUAAACGCUAAUACCGUAUAUUCUCUACAGAGGAAAGAUUUAUCGCUGAUGGAUGAGCCCGCGUCAGAUUAGGUAGUUGGUGAGGUAACGGCUCACCAAGCCGACGAUCUGUAGCUGGUCUGAGAGGAUGAUCAGCCACACUGGGACUGAGACACGGCCCAGACUCCUACGGGAGGCAGCAGUGGGGAAUAUUGGACAAUGGGCGAAAGCCUGAUCCAGCAAUACCGAGUGAGUGAUAAAGGCCCUAGGGUUGUAAAGCUCUUUUAGCAAGGAAGAUAAUGACGUUACUUGCAGAAAAAGCCCCGGCUAACUCCGUG
rnacentral:rRNA from 1 species